CAUACGCCAUGCCUUGCACACUGAAAAAAACAAAAAGUACAGAGGCAGCUGGCAAAAACGUCCUCGUCUUUUCCUUUUAUUUCUCUGUGUCGUCGUCUACCUCCGGCCACAGCUGGUUCUUCCGGCGGACGAUUAGGGCUUUUCUUUUUGUUUUGUUCAACAAGUUCCAGAAACCAAAUCAAAUUGGUUUCUCUGCUGAAAAAAGAAAAAAAAAACACAAAAACAAAAACCCUAACAUCUUAAAUUGUCAGUGGAUAUGGGUAGCGAGAGCCAUCUGAGAACAUGGGUGUCUGAUAUGUUAAUGUCACUGUUGGGAUAUUCUCAGUCCACUGUCGUUCAGUACGUUAUUGGGAUAGCUAAGCAAGCAACAUCACCAUCUGAUGUGGUGAGCAAGCUUGUGGAGUUUGGGUUACCAUCAUCUAGUGAAACACAAGCAUUUGCUGAAGAAAUCUUCUCAAGGGUACCACGUAAAGCGGCUGGUUUGAAUCUUUAUCAAAAACAAGAGAGAGAAGCCGCUAUGUUGGUGAGAAAGCAGAAGACUUAUGCCAUAUUGGAUGCAGAUGACGAGGAUGAUGAUGAUGAUGGUGACGCUCCAAAUGCUAAAUCUUCCAUUGAGACUACUUAUGAGAGUAGGAAAGUGGUAUCCCAUAAGAAGCGAUUUAGGAAGAAGACUGAGGAACAAGAUGAAGAUGAUGAGGUGGUUGCACGGGGAGAAGAAGAGAGACGGGUUAAAAGACGAACUUCUUCAGAUGAGGAUAAUGAUGCAGAGUCAGACGAAGAAUUAUUACGCGAUCAAAGAGAAAGAGAGAAAUUAGAACAAAAUUUAAGAGAACGUGAUGCAGCAAAGACACGGAAGUUAACAGAGCCAAAUUUAUCGAAGAAGGAGGAAGAGGAGGCUAUUCGGAGAUCAAAAGCUUUGGAGGAAGAUGACACUGAAGUUUUGAGAAAAGUGUCGAGACAAGAAUAUCUAAAGAAGAGGGAGCAAAAGAAACUGGAGGAAAUAAGAGAUGAUAUAGAAGAUGAGCAAUAUUUAUUUGAUGGUGUGAAGCUUACUGAAGCGGAAUAUCGUGAAUUAAGGUACAAGAAACAAAUAUACGAGCUUGUGAAGAAACGCUCAGAGGAAGCGGAGGAUACGGCAGAGCAGUAUAGGAUGCCAGAGGCAUAUGAUCAGGAAGGUGGUGUUAAUCAGGAGAAGAGAUUUGCUGUGGCCAUUCAACGUUACAGGGACUCGGGUGCUGGGGAUAAAAUGAACCCAUUCGCAGAACAGGAAGCAUGGGAGGAUCAUCAAAUUGGUAAGGCAACAUUAAAAUUUGGUUCCAAAAAUAAGAAGCGAUCAGAUGACUAUCAGUUUGUGUUUGAGGAUCAGAUUGAGUUUAUCAAGGCAUCAGUAAUGGAUGGAGAUGAGUUUGAUAGCGAGCAACUUAUGGAGUCCAGUGAGAAGUCUAAGGCACAAUCAGAAUUGGAGAAGCUUCAGGCUGACAGGAAAACUUUACCAAUAUAUCCAUAUCGGGAUGAGCUGCUCAAAGCUGUUGAGGAACAUCAGGUUCUUGUCAUUGUUGGUGAAACUGGUUCAGGAAAAACCACACAGAUACCCCAAUAUCUUCAUGAAGCUGGAUACACAAAGCGUGGAAAGGUUGGAUGUACACAGCCAAGGCGAGUUGCUGCUAUGAGUGUUGCUGCCAGAGUUUCUCAAGAAAUGGGUGUCAAACUUGGGCAUGAGGUUGGUUAUUCCAUUCGUUUUGAAGAUUGCACAUCUGACAAGACUGUUCUGAAAUAUAUGACAGAUGGAAUGCUGUUGCGAGAAUUCCUUGGUGAACCAGAUCUGGCGAAUUAUAGUGUGGUGAUGGUGGAUGAGGCUCAUGAAAGAACACUCUCAACUGAUGUCCUCUUUGGUUUGGUAAAGGAUAUUGCAAGAUUUCGUCCUGACCUGAAGUUGCUUAUAUCAAGUGCAACACUUGAUGCAGAGAAGUUUUCCGAUUAUUUUGAUUCUGCUCCAAUUUUCAAAAUUCCAGGUAGGCGGUUUCCUGUUGAAAUACAUUACACCAAAGCACCAGAAGCUGAUUAUAUAGAUGCUGCCAUUGUUACUGCCCUUCAAAUCCAUGUGACACAAGCACCUGGGGAUAUAUUGGUAUUCCUUACUGGUCAAGAAGAAAUUGAAACAGUAGAAGAAAUUUUGAAGCAUAGAAUAAGGGGCCUAGGAACGAAGAUUGCUGAAUUAAUAAUCUGCCCCAUAUAUGCCAACCUACCCACCGAGUUGCAAGCAAAAAUAUUUGAACCAACACCUGAAGGUGCAAGGAAGGUGGUCCUUGCCACAAAUAUAGCUGAAACGUCAUUGACUAUAGAUGGAAUUAAAUAUGUCAUUGACCCAGGCUUUGUAAAGAUGAAGUCUUACAAUCCUAGAACUGGAAUGGAGUCGCUGUUGGUAACGCCUAUAUCCAAGGCAUCUGCAAUGCAAAGGGCAGGUCGAUCUGGUCGAACAGGCCCGGGGAAGUGUUUUCGAUUAUACACGGCCUACAAUUAUCAGUGUGAUUUGGAUGACAAUACUGUGCCUGAGAUACAACGGACUAACCUUGCAAAUGUGGUUCUUAUGCUUAAGAGCCUUGGUAUUCAUGACUUGUUACAUUUUGAUUUCAUGGAUCCACCACCUUCUGAAGCAUUAUUAAAAGCAUUGGAAUUGCUCUUCGCAUUGAAUGCCUUAAAUAAACUUGGUGAGUUGACUAUAAUGGGUAGACGAAUGGCAGAAUUUCCUCUUGAUCCCAUGCUAUCUAAAAUGAUAGUUGCUUCUGACAAGUACAAGUGUUCAGAUGAGAUCAUUUCGAUUGCUGCCAUGCUUUCUGUGGGUAAUUCAAUCUUUUACCGACCAAAGGAUAAGCAAGUCCAUGCUGAUAAUGCCCGAAUGAAUUUUCACACUGGCAAUGUUGGAGACCAUAUCGCAUUGCUUAAGGUUUACAAUUCAUGGAAAGAGACAAAUUACUCGACACAAUGGUGUUAUGAGAAUUAUAUUCAGGUUAGGAGUAUGAAACGUGCUAGAGAUAUUAGAGAUCAACUUGAGGGGCUAUUAGAGAGGGUUGAGAUUGAGCUAUCCUCAAAUGAAAAUGAUUUAGAAGCUAUAAAGAAGACCAUUACAUCUGGUUUCUUCCAUCAUUCUGCAAGGCUUCAAAAGAAUGGAGCUUAUCGAACAGUUAAACAUCCACAAACUGUUCAUAUACAUCCCAGCUCAGGGCUUGCACAGGUUCUUCCUAGGUGGGUUGUGUAUCAUGAAUUGGUGCUUACAACCAAGGAAUACAUGAGACAGGUAACAGAACUAAAGCCAGACUGGUUGGUCGAAAUAGCCCCACACUAUUACCAGCUGAAGGAUGUUGAAGACCCUGGUUCAAAGAAAUUUCCUACUGGACAAGGGCGUGCAUUGUAAUGCUGACAACUAUAUUGCCCAAGUUGUUUCAGAUCCCGUUGUAUCUCACAAGAUACUGUUGUAUAUAUAACUGGUGGCUUGUCAGGGGAAAAAGAGACCAGGAAGAGGUAAAAGGACCGAGUGCUUAACUUUUUAUAUUUCUCUUGAACUGUAUGCAAUUUUGUAACUAGUUUUACCCUGGCUGCUGUUUCCUUGCUCGGUUUUCAUUUAGGACUUGGUGUGCUGAGACUGACCUUUUGCAGUCGUCAUUUAUCAAACCCAGGAUUUUGGCGUGUAGGGCUGAACACUACCUAAUUCAGGUUGACUUGAAGUUUUGAGAGUUUAUUCAAGUUCCAUUGGUGCUACCAUGCUGAUAUUCAAUCAGGGUUCUUGGGACUCAGAUUCAGCCAAUGUCGGAAAAUGAGCGAGAUUCUGCCAAAGUUCCCUUGACCUGAAUGUAGGCUCCUGCAGAUCCAUGUACCCUGAUAUGCCUGUUUGAUAAUCUGUUGUACUUGAAAUCAUGGAAUCAAGAUUUUGAGUUUACUAAAAACUUUAAAUAUAUCAAAAAUAAUUAUACCCUCC